rnacentral:rRNA from 1 species
GAUGAACGCUGGCGGCGUGCCUAAUACAUGCAAGUCGAGCGAACGGACGAGAAGCUUGCUUUUCUGAUGUUAGCGGCGGACGGGUGAGUAACACGUGGAUAACCUACCUAUAAGACUGGGAUAACUUCGGGAAACCGGAGCUAAUACCGGAUAAUAUUUUGAACCGCAUGGUUCAAAAGUGAAAGACGGUCUUGCUGUCACUUAUAGAUGGAUCCGCGCUGCAUUAGCUAGUUGGUAAGGUAACGGCUUACCAAGGCAACGAUGCAUAGCCGACCUGAGAGGAUGAUCGGCCACACUGGAACUGAGACACGGUCCAGACUCCUACGGGAGGCAGCAGUAGGGAAUCUUCCGCAAUGGGCGAAAGCCUGACGGAGCAACGCCGCGUGAGUGAUGAAGGUCUUCGGAUCGUAAAACUCUUUUAUUAGGGAAGAACAUAUGUGGAAGAAACUGUGCACAUCUUGACGGUACCUAAUCAGAAAGCCACGGCUAACUACGUG